rnacentral:rRNA from 1 species
GAUGAACGCUGGCGGCGUGCCUAAUACAUGCAAGUCGAGCGAACUGAUUAGAAGCUUGCUUCUAUGACGUUAGCGGCGGACGGGUGAGUAACACGUGGGCAACCUGCCUGUAAGACUGGGAUAACUUCGGGAAACCGAAGCUAAUACCGGAUAGGAUCUUCUCCUUCAUGGGAGAUGAUUGAAAGAUGGUUUCGGCUAUCACUUACAGAUGGGCCCGCGGUGCAUUAGCUAGUUGGUGAGGUAACGGCUCACCAAGGCAACGAUGCAUAGCCGACCUGGGAGGGUGAGCGGCCACCCUGGGACUGAGACACGGCCCAGACUCCUACGGGAGGCAGCAGUAGGGAAUCUUCCGCAAUGGACGAAAGUCUGACGGAGCAACGCCGCGUGAGUGAUGAAGGCUUUCGGGUCGUAAGACUCUGUUGUUAGGGAAGAACAAGUACAAGAGUAACUGCUUGUACCUUGACGGUACCUAACCAGAAAGCCACGGCUAACUACGUGCCAGCCGCCGCCGUAAAAC